AAUACAUUUUCCAAAUGAACUUCUAGGACAUCUGGUCACCUCCUGAAGGCUCAUUAAGGUUCUCUUUGCGUUAGAAAGGUGGUAAUGGUAAAGACAUCUUAUCGUGAGAGGGGGGGUUUUCGCUGGGGGUCCUCAGAAGAUCAGAGGGAAGCUCAAAGGGACCGAGUCUCCCAGCACACGGUCCCCCGCGUUAUUUCGCUCCGGUCCGUGACAGCGUGUGGCCCAACCUUGGCCUGCAUGCCAACCUCUGGGCAACAGCAAACUAAACCAUCUCUGCCAUGACAUGCCUGAGUUUCCCCAUCUAUAAACGGGGAUUCUAGAAUUAUCCUAUCUUGCUCCGAUGAUUGUUCUGCAGGUGCCGGGGUGAUGACGGAUGUAGGGGUCCCACGAAAAGGAAAAGGUACGACCGCCUGUUUUUUAUUUUUACUGCUCCUGUCAUACCGGCCUAGAGUCCCCGCCUCUGUGUGAAGACAAGACCCCCUCUUGAUCCCUUCCUGAACCCACUACCGUUACCCCAAGAACAGCAACAGCUUCCAGGCACCUGCUGGGCACCAGGCCCUGUGCUCACAUUCUCUUGCUUCCGCACAUGAUCGGACUGGAGCAGGGAAGGAACAUCCCACUUUGCAGAUAAAGAAGCCAAAGGUGAUCUUGUCCAAGGUCGCAGAGAGGAGGGGAAAGACAGAGCCAGCAUCCAACGCAGCCUUGGCCAGUCCGGUGCGCUCUCUUCCCCUGCCCCCAGUGCCUUGCCUGUCUUGGGGCCACGAGCAGCCACCAGCCUUUGGGGCGGCCUUCCCAGCUGCCUGUCUUCCAGUGUUUCAAGCAGGGCCCGAAGAAGUUGUUUGCUUCUCGAACACUAAAGUGCACAGAUGGGACGCCUUUGGCUUUCGCAAAUUGGCUCACUGGCCACACGCUUUAACCGUUUAAGGGGCGGCCAGUAAAAAACAAGAAUGUUCCAAGUUAAUGGGGCUCCAAGCUCUUGGCCAGAGCUUUACCUGCUACGGGCCCGCACCCCAGGGCGUCAUAAGCUGUCCAAGUACGGGAUAACGAGCCCAGGAGCCUGCAGGAAGGAAAGCUGGCCACUCUCCCCUCAGAAUCAAUCGGGCAGCCCUGCCCGGGACCGCAGGAACCCAAACACCGUUGGCCAGACGUGGGCCCCUCAAAAUGAUUUCCGUGAAACUUAAUCGAUGUGUUUCCAUUCCUUCCCAGUGAGUGUAGCCAGGCUGGGCCUUUAACUGUUCCUCGGCAGAAGCCAGCGUGAAGCUGGAAAGGGAGAAGGUGAGACAAGCCAGAGCCGUCUGUCCUCAGCCCUCCAGCCCCUCCCAGGCAGGAGACAAGGAGCCCCCUGUGGGGGGGCGGGGGCGCAGAACUAUGUGUGACGUGCAGGGGCCUUCUGGGUGGAUUCGGGGAACCUGGUAUGGAGCUCAAGGCCACAUAGAAAAGUGUCUGUCCCCAGUGGUUCCCUCUGGGUAUGAGAGGAGCGGGGAGGAAAGGGGUUUCUAGAAUUCUGUGUCAGCCUCUUGCAAGGAGCCUCCAUUAUUAUUUUACAGUAAAAUAAACGAGGUCGAUGCAUCUUUACCUACGUGCAUAUCCCUGUGACCACUACCCAGGUCAACGCACAGGAUCUCACCAGCCCAGAAAACGGCUCCCUCCCCGGCACGGCCCUCACCCCGAAGGUAACUACUCUUCCGACUGUUGGGAGUUUUUAAAAGAAAAAUUUCCAUGCAGUGCGAUCUCCGUUGCGUAAAAACGCGUGUAAGCCAAGAGGCCAUGAAAUAAAGUGUUAACUGUAGUCACCCCUGAGCGCUGUGAGGGGCAGGGGCCUCGUAAGGCACCGUUUUAAUUUUCUUCAUAGUUUGCUGGAUUUUCCGAACGUUCUGUAACCAGCCUGGGUAGCUUUUAUAAUCAAGGGGGAAAAAUUAAAGUGCGAUUGCAUGUGUUUUUAAGGCCUGUUCCCUUUUUAAAUGGUCUCACCAGAUGUUGUUAGCUGGGCUUUCUGAGAUGUGUGCUGAACUCUUCUUAAAGGCCCAGAUUUACCCAUCUACCGCAAGAUACAAAGCUUUUUCGCAUCACUUAGCAUCAGCACCUCCUAGCUUGGGAAGACAGAAGGCUGGGAAAAGCCGAGGCAGGCAGUGUCCCAGGGCUGCUGUCAUCACCUACUGCCCUCUGUGGCAGAAACAUCUAGGGAAGGUGACAUUCCACCCCUGACUCACGGGGUGACCAUGGCCUCAAUUCCCCCCAUCUGUAAAAUGGGGGCAUUGGGCUUAUCUAUCUCUAAGGAUCCUUCCAGUCGGGGCCAUUCUAGAAUUCAAGCUGUGAUCGGACUCCAGAAGGUCUGGAGCUGGGACGUGGUUUCUAAAUGGGACCCACGUAAUCCUCAGUUGGUGGGAAAGUUCGAAAAGACCCUUCUCCAUCUCUGUACUCAGCCCAGGAAGAGUCUACACCACCAGCCACAGACACAAAUGCCCACAGGGGACCGACAGGUGACAGGGAAGACAGAAGUAGGCCAAGUGUGAGAAAAUCACCCCUCCGGUCCCUCAGAGAGUGGCCCUUCACAGUCAACCUCCGUGUCCGGGAAGCAGUAGGGAGUCAUGGGGCUGGGACACAUGCCCCACCUCAUCAGCUCCUGCCCAGCCUUGCCUUGGCCCAAUGUUGCCGGAUCUGCUGAUAUUUUAGUAAAGCCUCCCAAUGUUUUAAAGGUUAGCCAAGCCAAAUACGUCUGUGACUCAGCUACCGCCCAGCGGGUAUCAGCUUGUGGCCGCCAGGCUCAACGAUCGGGGACUCUGCCCUUGAACUUCUCCAGGCUGGAGGUCCCGAAACCAGGGUUCUGCUGCCCUGGCUGCCAGGAAGUGGUUGAUCAUGUCCAACGAAAACUUCUCCUGCUUUAAAUCCCUUGUAUUUGUGUGUGGGUGGAGGUAGGAGUGAGAAUUGGCUCCUCAUUAAAAAAAAACAAAAAAAACCUUUAGAAACUGGAAAAACAGCCCA